rnacentral:rRNA from 1 species
UCUGGUUGAUCCUGCCAGUAGUUAUAUGCUUGUCUCAAAGAUUAAGCCAUGCAUGUCUAAGUACACACGAAUUAAAAGUGAAACCGCAAAAGGCUCAUUAUAUCAGUUAUGGUUCCUUAGAUCGUUAACAGUUACUUGGAUAACUGUGGUAAUUCUAGAGCUAAUACAUGCAAUUAAAACAUGAACCUUAUGGGACAUGUGCUUUUAUUAGGCUAAAACCAAGCGAUCGCAAGAUCGUUAUAUUGGUUGAACUCUAGAUAACAUGCAGAUCGUAUGGUCUUGUACCGACGACAGAUCUUUCAAAUGUCUGCCCUAUCAACUUUUGAUGGUAGUAUCUAGGACUACCAUGGUUGCAACGGGUAACGGGAAAUCAGGGUUCGAUUCCGGAGAGGGAGCCUGAGAAACGGCUACCACAUCUAAGGAAGGCAGCAGGCGCGUAAAUUACCCACUCCCAGCUCGGGGAGGUAGUGACGAAAAAUAACAAUACAGGACUCAUAUCCGAGGCCCUGUAAUUGGAAUGAGUACACUUUAAAUCCUUUAACAAGGACCAAUUGGAGGGCAAGUCUGGUGCCAGCAGCCGCGGUAAUUCCAGCUCCAAUAGCGUAUAUUAAAGUUGUUGCGGUUAAAACGUUCGUAGUUGAACUUGUGCUUCAUACGGGUAGUACAACUUACAAUUGUGGUUAGUACUAUACCUUUAUGUAUGUAAGCGUAUUACCGGUGGAGUUCUUAUAUGUGAUUAAAUACUUGUAUUUUUUCAUAUGUUCCUCCUAUUUAAAAACCUGCACUAGUGCUCUUAAACGAGUGUUAUUGUGGGCCGGUACUAUUACUUUGAACAAAUUAGAGUGCUUAAAGCAGGCUUCAAAUGCCUGAAUAUUCUGUGCAUGGGAUAAUGAAAUAAGACCUCUGUUCUGCUUUCAUUGGUUUUCAGAUCAAGAGGUAAUGAUUAAUAGAAGCAGUUUGGGGGCAUUAGUAUUACGACGCGAGAGGUGAAAUUCUUGGACCGUCGUAAGACUAACUUAAGCGAAAGCAUUUGCCAAAGAUGUUUUCAUUAAUCAAGAACGAAAGUUAGAGGUUCGAAGGCGAUCAGAUACCGCCCUAGUUCUAACCAUAAACGAUGCCAGCUAGCAAUUGGGUGUAGC